rnacentral:misc_RNA from 1 species
AACGCACAAUGCGCCCUUUGGCAUUCCGAAGGGCAUGCCCGUUCGAGCGUCAUUACACCACUCAAGCCUGGCUUGGUAUUGGGCGACGGGACAUCUCCCGCGCCUCUAAUUCUUCGGCUGGACGGUUCGAACCUCAGCGUUGUGGUUUAAUCAAAAUCGCUGGCGAGGACGACCGGACGCGCCGUGAAAACCUCAUUACAGGUUGACCUCGGAUCGGGUGGGGAUACCCGCUGAACUUAA